GAGAAACACACAGAGACCCAGGGAAGAGGCCAUGUGAAUGAAGAUGGAGGCAGAGACUGAAUUUAGGUUCCCACAAACCAAGGAAUGCCAGAAACCACCAAAAGCUGGAAGAGGAAAAGGAGGAUUCUUCCUUACAGACUUCAGAGAGAGCAUGGCCCUGAAAACACAUUGAUUUCAGACUUUCAGCCUCCAGAAUCAUGAGAGAAAAAAUGUCUGUUGUUUUAAGUCACAGCAGCUGUAAGAAACCAGUACAAGUAUCACUGUGUUUUAAGCCUGUGGGCCUGACUCAUGAGUGUCUAUCAGAAAUGCCCUCUCCUCUAUAUUCACUUAGAUGUUUCAUAUUUCUCCUUUGCAUGUCAUUCAUGGCUUUCAGGAAGACUUUUUUGGCAGCCCAGGGCAGGUCUGGCUUUAUGCUACCAGCAGCCCAGGGCAGGUCUAGCUUUAUGCUGUCAGAUGGAGUGGGCUAUAAGUAGAAUGUGACCAGGCUGAUGGUGAUGCUGCUGCUUCUAGCCUGGCAUCAUACUGGUUUUCCUCUGCAGUUGAGAAGAGUCAUGUGCAAGCUCGUGGCAGCAGCAAGUCCUCCUAAUAUGUCCCUGGUAUCAAACUAACUCAUUAGACUGUGGUAGCUGUGGUUGACUCCUGGUUUCUCCCAACUCCACCCUUUUGGCAGGCAGCAACCCUGGCCAGCAGCUGCUCAUGGUCUAGGAAGGACAGCUGUCUUAACACCCAUUCAUCUGUAGAGAGCAGCCUUUUGGAUCAGCGGAUGGCUCCACCAGAUGCUCAGCUUGUUUUCAGUUCUGGAGUCUGAAAUCCCCAGUGCCAUCUACCUGGCAUCAGUCUCAGGUGCAGCAUUUUCAUAAGGACCCUGAUGUCAGCAGCUGCUUGUGGUGAAACAUCUCACAGUGGAAGAGGAGCAUUCUGUGUUGAGAAUUUCCAUUGACGAAGCCAACUGAGUGGCCUGAUUCCCUUGGACCAGCAAUCUAGAGCUAGGGAAGAUGUUGCCCCAAGGAAGAGGCACAGCAGACACUUGGCUCUCCUCUUGGGUUUCUGCUUUCUCUGAGAAAACAGAAGUUUGAGGCCUCUAGAAGCACUGCAUUCCCUCCAAAGGGAGGUUGUAGAUACAUUAAUUAAUAUGAUUUUAAUUCAAAACUUCCUGAGGCAGAUAAUUCUAAAUGAUUAUCCCAAAAAUAUUUCCAACACCCUUCUUUUUACCACCCACUGGCCCCCAAAUCCUCAAUUUUCCAGUCUCCCUUGAGCUAAGUGUGGCCCUAUGACUCACUUCCAGCCAUGAAAACAAGUGCAAAUCUGUUAGGAGUAUGUUCUGGGGCAAUUUUUGCUCUCCUGAUGAAGACAAAGGCUGUUGAUCCACUGAACCCACCCAGACACUAUGUGGUUUCUUGAAUGUCCUACGUACAUUUUGAUGGAUUACCCAAGGACUAUCUGAUGAAGAAUAAUAGAGACAUAUAAAUACAUAUGGGCUACAUCUUGGCAAAAUAAAGUAAUCCUGAAGUAAAUUCUAAGGAUGUUCUGAAUUGACACCUCUUAAGCACAACCGAAUGUCCUGGUGGCUUUGCCUCCCACUGGGGCUUUUUGGCUCUUGUUUGGCCCCAGCGGCUGCUGCAGCUCUGUCUGAAUUCACACAGGAGCAACAUGAUGGUGCUCAGCCCUCGCCGAAGUGUCUUGCUGAAGAGUUGGGAGAUGCUUGGACUAUUCAGAUAGAAGCCAGCUGGAAGUACAGGGCAGUCAACACAAACCAGAGAGGCAAACUUUUGGCCAGUGAGACAUGGAAAGGGAGAAGAAAUACAUUCUUCUUUCUCCCCUAGAGUGAGGACCAACCUGAGUCCCAGUCACCUGGAAUCCCCUCAGACGAGCGUCCCUUGAGAUCCAGCACAUGGCAGCCAGCGUGCUGACGAUUCCUUCCUGCCUACUGGCUCCUUCUUAUUUCUGCCUCCGUGGAACUGUAUUCUCUAAUCAAUAUUAGCACAUACAUAUUGCCCCAGACUGUACCUCCUGGGAACCCAGGAUAAAGCACUAUCUAAACAUUUUGUCUUGGAAUUGUAAUAAACUUCAAAAGAAAAAUACAACUUGAAAGUUAAA